rnacentral:rRNA from 1 species
UACGGGGGGGGCAAGCGUUGUUCGGAAUUACUGGGCGUAAAGGGCCCGUAGGCGGCCAACUAAGUCGGAGGUGAAAUCCCCAGGCUCAACUUGGGAACUGCAUCCGAUACUGGAUGGCUUGAAUCCGGGAGAGGGAUGCGGAAUUCCAGGUGUAGCGGUGAAAUGCGUAGAUAUCUGGAGGAACACCGGUGGCGAAGGCGGCAUCCUGGACCGGUAUUGACGCUGAGGCGCGAAAGCCAGGGGAGCAAACGGG